GGAGAUUAUAAAGUCCUGAUUGAGAUCGAGCAGGGCAGCCUUUGCAUGGUUUUGAUCGGCCCACCGGUGAUUGAGGCGCAAACAGUCGCCUGUCCUGCAGCAGAAACGACGGGCUUCUGGAUUCUCUUGGAAAAACGCCAAUCGGGUGUUUGUCGAAGCCUCGUUGUUGGAUUCAAGCCCUGACCCCGGCGAGCGGCGCUCUCGCCGGGCCGCAGCCUAUCGCUCCACCUCGGCCGUUCAGCUGCGAGGAUGUCAUCUUUCUUUUUUUAUCGCCCGCUCUCCCUCCUCCCUCCCUGUCUCUUUCUUCCUUUUCUUUUUUAAUUCCUCUUUCUUCUCCCCCUCCUCUCCUUUUCUCGCACCGCUAUGUCCCACUUGCUCUUAAAGGGAUAGGGUUUCCUCUAUUGGACACCCCCCUCUCAUUUCCGUCUCCCUCGGCGGGGCCUGUCCUCUCCCCCCCUUCCUUCCUGGGUUUGUCGGCCGACACAAAAUGCACCACAGUAGUUGUUCCUCCCUCCUCGGGCCAGCUGGAACAGAUCUCCUGCACCGCGGAAAACAGCCUGAAUGACUUCCCAUUAACGACGAGAUGACAGACGCAUCUUAAAGGGCGGUGCGCAGAUCCUCCUGGUCGGCCUAUAAUAAUGAUGUCACAGUCAGAUAUAGUACACAGGACGAAUAGCAGCUCAGCAUGCACGCACAAUAGAUGAGAAUACUUGUGCAUGAACACAGCCUGGUUAACAACAUAUACACACACACACACACACAUCCAUAUUGUGCAUACUAUAUGGUAUCCUAAUCUAAAUGUACAUCCUCCAAGUAGUGAUAAUCUAAAAUGAUAAAAACAGAAAUGCUUACUGGAUUAGUUGGAGACAACAUGGUAAUCGAUAGGGCUGCACAAUAUGUGUUAAAUUUAACAAGUAAUGUGUUUUAGCAGCAUCCUGAAAGCAGAACUAAGUACACUUUAAUAUGUUUUUACAUCACAAGGGCUAUAGCUACCGCAAUAUCGCUUAUUUUCCCCAUAUCGUGCAGCCCUAAUAAUCGAUUAAUCAUCAUUUUAAGUUAGAACCCCCCAACUUUACUGGUUUCAGCUUCUUACAUGUAAAUGUUGGUGUUUUUAUGAUUGUUAACUGAAUAUAUUUGGCAUAUUUUGACAGUUAGUCUGACAAAAUAACACAUUUUAACAUCAAAAAGCGCUUUUGUUUUGACUAUUUUCUGGAUUAUUGAUCCAUAAUUAAAAUAAUCUAGACAUCUUUUUGUUAUCGAUAAAUCUGUCUAAUAUUUUCUCUAUUAAUCAUUUGGCCCAUAACAUUUUUAGAAAAUAGUAAAAAGAAAAAAUGUCCUUGAUACUUCCCCCAAAGCCCAAGUUUACAUAUUUAAACAUCAAUAACCAGAAGAUAUUCAAGUUUAAUAUCAUAGAAGAAGAAAAGUAUUCACAUUUGAGAAUCUGGAGCAGGAUUAAUCGAUGAACUGACCAGUAUGUAUGUAGUAAACAUCUUAACAAUGAGUGAAGUACAUCAAAUCAAGACGAGUUAAUGUGUUAAUAUCAAUUUAUUAUUUUUUUUAAAUUACUUUUUAAAGCACCCCAUUUCUUUUCCAAUACAUGUGUUAAGACCCUUCUUCCUUCUCCUCCUCAGGCUUGGAAUAGCUGGAUUUGGAAAAUUCAAUAAGGAUUUCAACCCCCUUCCCCCCCCCCCCCACCCCCGAAAACUCUGCAAAACACAGACGAGCCUGUGUUGCUUCUUCGUCUUCACCUUUCAUCUGGGCAUGAGGCAGGAACUGAGACUCCCAGCUCUCGCCCACAACCGGACACUGACAACAACCCGUCUAAAAACACUACCACACCGAUUUCCCCCCCCCCCCCCCCCCAACACAAAGGCCGUCCCGAAACCCGCCAGUCUUAGUUUAUAUAAGGAGUUUAUGCAUGCACUGAGAUUCCAACCGAGCAUAAAGUAGUAGGUUAUACAGGGAAUUGUCUUGAGCUGGUGUUUCUGAGUCAUACAAACAGCACGGUGAUUUUUUUCUUUGCUCCAAUAAAGAUAAAAAU